GCCGGUGGUAAUUCCGGAGAGGCAACACCCGUUCCCAUUCCGAACACGGCAGUUAAGGGCUCCAGGGCCGAUGGUAGUAACGCCCAACUCGGCGUUGUCAGAGUAGGUCGCUGCCGGCC
rnacentral:rRNA from 1 species